GGUCAAGCGAACAAGUGCAUGUGGUGGAUGCCUUGGCGAUCACAGGCGAUGAAGGACGCGGUAGCCUGCGAAAAGCUUCGGGGAGCUGGCAAACGAGCUUUGAUCCGGAGAUGUCCGAAUGGGGAAACCCGGCCCGUAUGGGUCAUCCCACACUGAAUCCAUAGGUGUGGGAAGCGAACGCGGCGAACUGAAACAUCUAAGUAGCUGCAGGAACAGAAAUCAACCGAGAUUCCCAAAGUAGUGGCGAACGAAAUGGGAUGAGCCUUGUACUUUUUAGCAGUGUGGUUAGCAAAACGGGAUGGAAAGCCCGGCCAUAGCAGGUGAUAGCCCUGUAUGCGAAAACCGCGUUGUGGAACUAGGGGUACGACAAGUAGGGCGGGACACGUGAAAUCCUGUCUGAAGAUGGGGGGACCAUCCUCCAAGGCUAAAUACUCGUGAUCGACCGAUAGUGAACCAGUACCGUGAGGGAAAGGCGAAAAGAACCCCGGGAGGGGAGUGAAAUAGAUCCUGAAACCGCAUGCAUACAAACAGUCGGAGCCUGGAAACGGGUGACGGCGUACCUUUUGUAUAAUGGGUCAGCGACUUACAUUCAGUGGCAAGCUUAACCGGUUAGGGAAGGCGUAGCGAAAGCGAGUCCGAACAGGGCGAUUGAGUCGCUGGGUGUAGACCCGAAACCAGACGAUCUAUCCAUGGCCAGGUUGAAGGUGCGGUAACACGUACUGGAGGACCGAACCCACUAACGUUGAAAAGUUAGGGGAUGAGCUGUGGAUAGGGGUGAAAGGCUAAACAAGUCUGGAAAUAGCUGGUUCUCUCCGAAAACUAUUUAGGUAGUGCCUCGUGUCUCACCUUCGGGGGUAGAGCACUGUCAUGGUUGGGGGGUCUACUGCUGAUUACCCCGCCAUAGCAAACUCCGAAUACCGAAGAGUGCAAUCACGGGAGACAGACAUCGGGUGCUAACGUCCGGUGUCAAGAGGGAAACAACCCAGACCGCCAGCUAAGGUCCCCAAGAUUGGCUAAGUGGGAAACGAAGUGGGAAGGCUAAAACAGUCAGGAGGUUGGCUUAGAAGCAGCCACCCUUUAAAGAAAGCGUAAUAGCUCACUGAUCGAGUCGUCCUGCGCGGAAGAUGUAACGGGGCUAAGCCAGUCACCGAAGCUGCGGGCGCACCUUGUGUGCGCGGUAGGAGAGCGUUCCGUAAGCCUGUGAAGGUGUCUUGUAAAGGAUGCUGGAGGUAUCGGAAGUGCGAAUGCUGACAUGAGUAGCGAUAAAGGGGGUGAAAGGCCCCCUCGCCGUAAGCCCAAGGUUUCCUACGCAACGUUCAUCGGCGUAGGGUGAGUCGGCCCCUAAGGCGAGGCAGAGAUGCGUAGCUGAUGGGAAGCAGGUUAAUAUUCCUGCACCGUCGUAUGAUGCGAUGGGGGGACGGAUCGCGGAAGGUUGUCCGGUGUUGGAAGUCCCGGUCCCUGCAUUGGAGAAGGCGCUUUGGCAAAUCCGGGCGCGUAAUUCAAGGAUGUGGGGCGAGCGGCCUAGUGCUGCGAAGCAAUCGGAAGGGGUCCCAAGAAAAGCCUCUAAGCUUCAGUCAUACGAGACCGUACCGCAAACCGACACAGGUGGGCGAGAUGAGUAUUCUAAGGCGCUUGAGAGAACUCGGGAGAAGGAACUCGGCAAAUUGGUACCGUAACUUCGGGAUAAGGUACGCCCUGGUAACUUGACUGGCCUGCGCCAGAAGGGUGAAGGGGUUGCAAUAAAAUGGUGGCUGCGACUGUUUAAUAAAAACACAGCACUCUGCAAACACGAAAGUGGACGUAUAGGGUGUGACGCCUGCCCGGUGCCGGAAGAUUAAAUGAUGGGGUGCAAGCUCUUGAUUGAAGUCCCGGUAAACGGCGGCCGUAACUAUAACGGUCCUAAGGUAGCGAAAUUCCUUGUCGGGUAAGUUCCGACCUGCACGAAUGGCGUAACGAUGGCCACACUGUCUCCUCCCGAGACUCAGCGAAGUUGAAGUGUUUGUGAUGAUGCAAUCUCCCCGCGGCUAGACGGAAAGACCCCAUGAACCUUUACUGCAGCUUUGCAUUGGACUUUGAACCGAUCUGUGUAGGAUAGGUGGGAGGCUUUGAAGCGAGGACGCCAGUUCUCGUGGAGCCGUCCUUGAAAUACCACCCUGGUUUGUUUGAGGUUCUAACCUAGGCCCGUGAAUCCGGGUCGGGGACAGUGCAUGGUAGGCAGUUUGACUGGGGCGGUCUCCUCCCAAAGUGUAACGGAGGAGUUCGAAGGUACGCUUGGUACGGUCGGACAUCGUACCUAAAGUGCAAUGGCAAAAGCGUGCUUAACUGCGAGACCGACAAGUCGAGCAGGUGCGAAAGCAGGACAUAGUGAUCCGGUGGUUCUGAAUGGAAGGGCCAUCGCUCAACGGAUAAAAGGUACUCUGGGGAUAACAGGCUGAUACCGCCCAAGAGUUCAUAUCGACGGCGGUGUUUGGCACCUCGAUGUCGGCUCAUCUCAUCCUGGGGCUGUAGCCGGUCCCAAGGGUAUGGCUGUUCGCCAUUUAAAGAGGUACGUGAGCUGGGUUUAAAACGUCGUGAGACAGUUUGGUCCCUAUCUGCCGUGGGCGUUGGAAUCUUGACGGGGGCUGCUCCUAGUACGAGAGGACCGGAGUGGACGUACCGCUGGUGUACCUGUUGUCUCGCCAGAGGCAUCGCAGGGUAGCUAUGUACGGAAGAGAUAACCGCUGAAAGCAUCUAAGCGGGAAACUCGCCUGAAGAUGAGGAUUCCCUGGAGCCUCGAGCUCCUUGAAGGGUCGUUCAAGACCAGGACGUUGAUAGGCUGGGUGUGGAAGCGCAGUAAUGCGUUAAGCUAACCAGUACUAAUUGCCCGUAAGGCUUGAUCCU
rnacentral:rRNA from 1 species